AGUGAGAGGAAGGCUGGAGCAGAGGAAGCGAGAACCCUCCAGAGAUGCGGAGCUGGACAGUUUUGCAGCUGUGCUGGUACCUGGAGCCUGGGCAGGCUGGGAGUCCUGCUUAACCCCACAGCCUGCAUGCUGGCACCAAGUGGGGGUCAAACCUAGGGCCUUCUGCUCCCAGGACAUAAGUCCCCCUCACUAUUCGGAUCUGCUGGAAGAACCAGAAUCCCAGCAGAAGUGCUGAGUCAUGUGGGGGAGUUUGCUGGCAUAACUUCUCCCCACCUGCACCCAAGGCAUUGUUGAGAAAAGAAAGUCUGCUGCCACCUAAGAGACCCAGAAUCAGAACAACGGUGUGAUCUGAACAAGAUGAAGGGGUGGUUUCAUGAUAAGAAUAAACUACAAGCUUCUUCUGCUCCUUCUAGAGGCCUGAUAUCUCCAAGGUAACUCCAGAAACUCCAAGAGGAGAUGAAGAGAAUCCAGGAAGUCACCAGCUGUGGUGAACAUUGUGCCUAACUUGACACCCUUUGUUUUGCCCAUUUCUGCUGCCACUCUAAGAAAAGCCACUAUGGGGUGAACUCCUGGGCUCCCAGGGCUGCUCCACGUCAACACCAAAUCUAGAAACCUCUGGUACUGGAUUUAACUACCCCUGGGGUUGCCAUGAAGAUGAAGUUCCAGGAUCCUGGAAGGCUGAGGGUGGAAACCAAGUUAGUGAUGAGGCAGGAGGAGAAGAUGGGGUGAGCUCUCUUGUAAAACAGAGCAGGGAGCUGGAUCUACUGUUUCAGAGUGAGCAGGCGAUGGCAAGCAGGAAGACACACUGUGUCGCCGGCUCACACCCACUCCUGCUGCCUGCUGCCUGCUGAUGGCCACGCCUCCUGAAAAGGCUGGAUUCAGGGUGGCCGCUCAACUUCGCAGCACCUGCUAUCUCCACUCUGUGCCCACUCCUUCGCCUGCCACGUCUCCUACAGACACUGAAAGGGCCCUAUCAAUUUAUUUGGUUAAGAUCCAUUUCAAUGCUCAGAACCCUAAUGUGGUCUGCAGAGCAUGAAUCCAGAUGGCCUCGGGUUGCCUUGCACCAGUCCUGUACUGUGCUGCUCUCCCAGUCUGUUUUGACUCCUCAACCUAAGGCAGGAAUCUUCCAAAGACCUGGAUCCUCCUACUUAGAGAACAAGGAGGGCAGGUGAUGAGAAUAAGGGGGCUAUCAAUGGAAAAGCAGAGCAACAAGAUCUUACAAAUACAGGGAGAAUGUCCACUGAGGUUGCAGGGUUUUGCAGGGUUUUGCAGGGAUCAAGGGAGGGGCACAGGUGGGUAGGUAGAAAGUUCCAGUCCCUAGGAAAUUAGAAAACUCUCCAUGUAUCGUCUCCGCACUAACAGCACCAAGCAGCAGCCCAUAGCCACCAACACCGGCUUCUGCUUACUGGUCAAGAGGAAGACAUCCCAGGGAGAUUUGAGAUUCGUGACAUAGCAGUUUGUGACUAUCAGGGUGCUGACCUCUCUGAGAAGCACAAGGUGACACACCUCAACAUCCAGACACAUCUACAUGGUUUCCAGAGGGCAUCUCUAUGACAGGGGCCCUCCAAUGGCAGCAGGAGGCCCCUGCAUAUGGUUCAGUGAACCAGAUUCCUCUUGCAGGGCACAAAUGGAAUGUGAGGCAAUGCCACCAUUUAGGGGCCAGCACAGAGACUCAGGGAACAAGAAGCUUAGAGCAAAGCAAGUCACAUGAUGUUAAGGCUAUGUGACUACUACAGCCUGCACAAGGAGAUGUUGUCACGCACUCCUCAAGACUCCAGAGAAGCCAAAAUAAAGAAAAGAGCCCCUGGCAAACAAAAUGAUGCCUGAAACCCACAUACUAAGCUUCUGCCUGUCACCUAUGGGAAAGCCCUUGGCCCUGCCCCGUGGCCCAGCCACUGAAAGCCUAUUUACUUUUAUUUUAGAAACAAACUCGUUUAUUUAAUUUCUCAUCCCAGAGGAGUUGAAAAGGGCACUGGGAUUAAUAGUGGCAGGUUCCUAAAAGACUUCCAGAAGUGACAACUAGCAGCCACGAAUUAGACCAGGGAUGCACACAUUUUUUCUAUAAAGGGUCAGACAGUCAAUAAUUUUAGCUUUGCGACUACUCUACUCUGCUCUGUAGCGUGAAAGCGGCCCCUGAUGAUAUGUAAAUGAGUGGGUAUGGCUAGGUGCCAGUGAAACUUUAUUUACCAAAACGGACGACG
ensembl:lncRNA novel transcript, antisense to RBM19